GCGCCGGUGGUGUACGGCGAACAACGCUGCCCGGAAAGCAGAAGAUGCGGGUUCGAGUCCCGCCUGGCGCA
rfam:Heligmosomoides polygyrus genome assembly, scaffold: HPBE_contig0000630